UUUAGCCCCAUCUCCCCACGGUUCUCGCCUGGUUUCUUACUGAAGCUAAGCAAGGUUGAGCCUGGCCAGUACCUGGAUGGGAGACCUGGGGAAAAGUAAGGUUGCUGCUGGAA
rnacentral:rRNA from 1 species